AUUGAACGCUGGCGGCAGGCCUAACACAUGCAAGUCGAACGAGUGGCGGACGGGUGAGUAAUGUCUGGGACACUGCCUGAUGGAGGGGGAUAACUACUGGAAACGGUAGCUAAUACCGCAUACCAUCGGAUGUGCCCAGAUGGGAUUAGCUAGUAGUGGGGGUAAAGGCUCACCUAGGCGCCACUCCCUAGCUGGUCUGAGAGGAUGACCAUCCAACCUGGAACUGAGACACGGUCCAGACUCCUCCGGGAGGCAGCAGUGGGGAAUAUUGCACAAUGGGCGCAAGCCUGAUGCAGCCAUGCCGCGUGUAUGAAGAAGGCCUUCGGGUUGUAAAGUACUUUCAGCGGGGAGGCUUUACCCGCAGAAGAAGCACCGGCUAACUCCGUGCCAGCAGCCGCGGUAAUUC
rnacentral:rRNA from 1 species